rnacentral:lncRNA from 1 species
UUUCUCCAACCAGUCAGAAAGAGGUAGAGAAGUAUUAAGAGAACAGAAUAGAGAGAGAAGGCAAAUAGAGAGAAGCGGAUGCUCUGUUAGCAAAACCCACUUAGAGAGAAAUAGAGGUAUAGAGAGAGGUUUAGUAGAGAGAGAAAGAGAUCCCUGUAAACCCAACCCAGGAUAAGAGAGAGAGAGAAACAGGAAAACAGAUAUAGAUAAAGAGAACAAGUAGUGAAAGAGAGGUUUUAGAGAGAGAAGAUAGUGGUUUGUCCUGUAAUACGAUUGAGAGAGGUUUUAGAGAGAGAAGAUAGUGGUUCGUCCUGAAAGAUGUAAAAGAUAGCUACACAGUGAAAUAUAAGAGAAAGAUAGAGAGAGAAACAACAGUAC